rnacentral:misc_RNA from 1 species
AAGUCCCUCGUGUCCGUUCUGCGCGACCGUGACUCGAUAACCUGCCGCCUUCAGGACAGGCGCCAGCAUGUUGCGGAAGAAGGCGGAGUCGUCGACCAGCAGAACGGUUUGCGCGGUGGCGGACAAANNNNNGGCUGAACCAGUCCGCGAACGCCAUCGGCAGGAAGUGUCCGACGUCGAUCACUUCGGUGGCCUGACCCUUUACGACGGCCGAGCCCAGCACGCCUUCGCGUGUGCUCGCCA